rnacentral:rRNA from 1 species
GUAGGUGGCGAGCGUUAUCCGGAAUCAUUGGGCGUAAAGCGCGCGCAGGCGGGCUUUCAAGCGGCGGCGUCGAAGCCGGGGGCUCAACCCCCGGAAGCGCCCCGAACUGGAAGCCUCGGAUGCGGCAGGGGGAGGCGGAAUUCCCGGUGUAGCGGUGAAAUGCGCAGAUAUCGGGAAGAACACCGACGGCGAAGGCAGCCUCCUGGGCCGGCAUCGACGCUGAGGCGCGAAAGCUGGGGGAGCGAACAGGAUUAGAUACCCUGGUAGUCCACACGGUAAACGAUGAAUACUCGCCGUUUGCGAUAUACAGCAAGCGGCCAAGCGAAAGCGUUAAGUAUUCCACCUGGGGAGUACGCCGGCAACGGUGAAACUCAAAGGAUUGACGGAAACUCAGCAGCCGCGGUAAUACCAAACUCAAAGGAAUUGACG